rnacentral:rRNA from 1 species
CGUUAUUCCAAGACGCGACCUAAGAUGCUGAAUUUAAGCAUAUUAGUCAGUGGAGAAAAUGGAACUAACCAGGAUGCCCGUAGUAAAGGUAAAUGAAUAGGAAUCCCAAUGCCAAAUCCCUGCCCCUUGGUGGGUGGGGUGUGGGAAAUGUGGCCUAUGGAAGACUCACUCUCCAACGCCACUUGUGGGGGCCCAAGUCCUUCUGAUUGAGGCCCAGCCAGCCUGUGGACGGUGUGAGGCCAUUAGCAGCUCCUGACUGCCACGCCUGGGUCUUUCCAGAGUCGGGUUGCUUGGGAAUGCAACCUCAAGCUGGUGGCAAACUCUAUCUAAGGUUAAAUACUGGCUCAAGAGCACAAUAGUCAACAAGUACUGUAAGGGAAAGUUGAAAAGAACUUUGAAGACGCAGUUCAAGAGGGCGUGAAACCGUUAAGACUUAAAUGGGUGGUAUCCAUGCAGUCUGAUGGAAGAUUCAAACAGGCGGCGGGUCGGGCUGUGCCAGUGGUCUGGCAGAUCUUUCUUGCCUCCGGUUUCUCCCGACCCCUCCAACCGCCCUCCCUCCCCGGCCACCUCUCCUCCUCCUUGGAGGUUGUGGGCCCCAGCAGGUAUGGAGGUGGGUGGGUUGGGCAGGCGGGGGAGUUGUUGGGGACUGUCCUCCAGACAGGGACUGGCCACCACCAGAUGCAUUUCCACUGUGGUGCUGCGCCGUGACUGGCUAUGGGACGGCUGGGAAGGCCCGGCAGGGAAGGUGGCUUGGGGGGGGUCAUGUCCUCCCCGUCCCUCGGGAGGGGGGUGGAGUGGGCCACCCCCUGAGUGUUACAGUCCUUCAGCAGUAGCUCUCGCCGAAUCCCGGGACUGAGGUAGUGAGACCUGUUGCCCUGCUCUCCGUUUCCCUGCGCCCACCCCAGUGGGAGCCCCCCAUGAGGGGGUCUCCCGUGGGGGCGUGACAGCGUCCCUCUAGGGGGCUGGGACACCCCUCCUACGGUGUAACUACUCUACCACCCUUCCCUGCCCCCAGCGAGUAGGCCGCAUGGGAGGGGCUGGGGCUGACUGUGGUGUGCCCCAGGCUGGUUGUGCUGUCGGGCCUGGGGGGACUCUUCGGCCAUGCACUCAUUUCAAAAGAACAGUGGAAGGAGUGCACGAGGCCGGUGGAACUGUUGGCUACUCACAUGACCCAUCUUGAAACACGGUCCAAGGGGUCUAACACGUGUGCGAGUCAGGGGCUCGCACGAAAGCCAUUGUGGCGCCAUGAAGGUGAAGGCUGAUGCGCUGCCUGGCUGAGGUGGGAUCCUGAGGCCUCUCCAGUUCGCCAAGGGUGCACCACCAUCUGCUCUCACCCACUGCGUUGGGCAGGUGGAGAAAGAGCGUUUGUGUUAGGCAACAAAAGAUGAUAAACUAUGCCUGAGCAGGGCGAAGCGAGAGGAAACUCUGGUGGGGGUCUAUAGAGGUCCUGACGUGCAAAUCGGUCAUCUGAUCUGGGUAUAGGGGCAAAAGACUAAUCCAACCAUCUAGUAGCUGGUUCCCUCUGAAGUUUUCCUAAGGAUAGCUGGCGCUCUUGCAAAUCCCCAUGCCACGCAGUUAUUUGGUAAAGCGAAUGAUUAGGGGUCUUGGAGUCGAAAUGAUCUCAACCAAUUCUCAAACUUUAAAUGGGUUAGAAGCCCAGCUCGAUGGCAUGGAGCCAGGUAUGGAAUGCGGGUGCCUAGCGGGCAACUUUGGUAGGCAGAACUGCUGCUGUGGGAUGAACCAAAUGCCAUGUUAGGGUGCCUGAUGCUGAUGCCCAUUAGACCCCAGAAAAUGUGUUGGUUGAUAUAGACAGCUGUCUAUAUCAUGCUUCCAUGACGGUGGCCAUGGAAGUCAGAAUCCGGUAAGGGGUGUUUAACAACAAAGAAUCAACUCGCCCUGAAAAAUGGAUGGUACUGAAACAUUGGGCCCAUACCCGGCCAUUGCCAGCAGUUGAGAGUGGAUGGGAGUGGUGAGGGUGGUCGCUCCCGCUGGAGCCCCGAGGAUGCUAUGCUGCUAUGAGUGGGAGGACCACUGCGAUGAGCCUCGAAGCCUUGGGCAUGAGCCUGGGUGGAGCUGCCCCAGGUGCAGAUCUUGGGGGUAGUAGCAAAUAUUCAAAUGAGAACUUUGAAGGCCGAAGUGGAGAAGGGUUCCAGUGGAAGAUGGGUCACUCGGUCCCUAGAGAUAGGCGAGUGCCAUUCCGAAGGGAUGGAUGAUGACUUCCAUUGCCCUCAGCCAAUGGAAAGGGAGUCAAGUUCAGAUUUCUGAAUCCGGAGUGGCAGAGAUGGGCACCAUGAGGCAUUCAUGGAGGUAAUGGAAGUGAUCCUGGAGAAGCUGGUGGGAGCCCAGGGGAGAGUUCUUUUUGUGAAGAGCAGGGUGCCCUGUAGUGGAUUCACCCUUAGAGAGAGGUCUGUGCCUUGGAAAGAAUCAUAGUUCAGGCGGCACCUGGUGAGCUCUCACAGGCCCUUGAAAAUCUGGGGGAGAGGGUGUAAAUCUCACACCAGGCUGUAACCAUAUCCACAGCAGGUCUCCAAGGUAAACAGCCUCUGGCAUGUUAGAACAAUGUAGGUAAGGGAAAUCAGCAAGCUGGAUCAGUAAGUUCAGGGUAAGAAUUUGCUCUAAGGACUUUGCCAGUCUGGCUGGGGCUUGAAGUGGGGCUGGGUGCAGGCAGUGGCUGGAUGAGGUGCUGUACUCCACCCCCCAAUGCUAGUGGCACUCCUCUGCAGACAUCCCUCACCCCACCUUGCCAUACCUUCCUAUUCCCUAUCCCUCCCCACCUCACUAUUGCCACUUCCUAGCAGCCCUCUUAGAACUGAUGCAGACCAGGGGAAUCUGACUGUUUAAAACAAAGCAUGGUGAAGGCCCAUGGUGGAUGUUGACACAACGUGAAUUCUACCCAGUGCUCUGAAUGUCAAAGUGAAGAAAUUCAAUGAAGCACGAGUAAACGGCAGGAGUAACUAUGUCUCUCUCAAGUGUAGCCAAAUGCCUCGUCAUCUAAUUAGUGACUCAUAUGAAUGGAUGGACAAGAUUCCCACUGUUACUACCUGCUAUCCAGCAAAACCACAGCCAAAGGAAUGGGCUUGACAGAAUCAGCAGGGAACAAAGACUCUGUUGAGACUGACUCUAGUCUGGCAUGGUGAAGAGACAUGAGAGGUGUAGAAUAAGUGAAAGGCCCCGGCACCCCUCUGUUUCUCUGAGGAGAUGGGGUGAGGUCCACUGGCCUUGUGGGCUGCCAGUGAAAUUCCACUACCCUGAUAAUUUUUUACUGACCUGGUGAAGUUGGGGCUGGGGAGGAAAGCCACAAGGGGCUCAAACUUUUGGCACCAAGCACCUGGCCACAUGCUGGCUGGAUGUUAACUGCUCCAGGAAUAGUGCCAAGUGCAGAGUUGGCCUGGUGCAGUACACCUGUCGAACAGUAAUGCAGGUGUCUGAAGGUGAUUGCAGGGAGUACCAAAACCUCCCGUGGAGCAGAAGGGCAGAAGUUGCUUGAUCUUGAUUUUCAGUAUGAAUGCAGACCGGGAAAGCAGGGCCUCAUGAUCCUUUUGACGUUCUGUUUGGGUUUUAAGCAGGACCAUCAGAGAAGAUACCAGAUGGUUGACCAGAUGGCCCUCAGCUGCUAUGAUUGAAGUUGAACAGAUGGCUCUUGCCUUGCCAUGUCUGAAGUGGACAAGGGAUAACUGCCUUGUAGUGGCCAAGAGUUCAUAGCGACAUCGCUUUUUCAUCCUUUGGUGUUGGAUCUUCCUAUGGUGAAACAGAAUUCACCAAGCGUUGGAUGGUUCACCCAAUAACAGGGAACCUGAGCUUGGUUUAGAACGUCAUGAGACAGGUCGGUUUUACACAACAGUCUUUUAAACAAGGUCUUCCCACCUUGGCCUCAUGAGUACCUGGGACUACUGGGACCUUAUUCCUCUGUAUUUUUUCUAACCACAAUUUCAGUUUGUUUCCACAAUACUUAGAGUAACUUGCUGUAAUUUUUCAUUGUUCUUUUCUCUCUCUAUUCUUAUAUCUCCUUCCUACACACUAAAGUUGACCUUUGGUUUAUUUUUUGUCACAGUUCACACUGGUUGUGACAGACACACACACACACACACACACACAGUGAGAGAGAGAGAGAGAUAGGAGUUCUCAAUUGUGAUAUUAAAUGCCUUUUAUUAUUGUUAACUUUGGCUUAAUUAUUUCAUCUUUAAGAUUGUUGUU